CCUACGGGAGGCAGCAGUGAGGAAUAUUGGUCAAUGGGCGAGAGCCUGAACCAGCCAAGUCGCGUGAGGGAGUACUGCCCUAUGGGUUGUAAACCUCUUUUGUCGGGGAGCAAAAGCCGGACGUGUCCGGCUGUGAGAGUACCCGAAGAAAAAGCAUCGGCUAACUCCGUGCCAGCAGCCGCGGUAAUACGGAGGUGGCGAGCGUUAUCCGGAUUUUUUGGGUUUAAAGGGUGCGCAGGGGGAUUGUUAAGUCAGCGGUAAAAUCGUGGGGUUCAACCCCAUCCAGCCGUUGAAACUGGGGAUCUAGAGUGUGCGAGAGGUAUGCGGAAUGCGUGGUGUAGCGGUGAAAUGCAUAGAUAUCACGCAGAACCCCGAUUGCGAAGGCAGCAUGCCGGUGCACAACUGACGCUGAGGCACGAAAGCGUGGGUAUCGAACAGGAUUAGAUACCCGAGUAGUC
rnacentral:rRNA from 1 species